rnacentral:rRNA from 1 species
CCUACGGGAGGCAGCAGUGAGGAAUAUUGGUCAAUGGACGAGAGUCUGAACCAGCCAAGUAGCGUGAAGGAUGACUGCCCUAUGGGUUGUAAACUUCUUUUAUAUGGGAAUAAAAUGUUCCACGUGUGGGAUUUUGUAUGUACCAUAUGAAUAAGGAUCGGCUAACUCCGUGCCAGCAGCCGCGGUAAUACGGAGGAUCCGAGCGUUAUCCGGAUUUCUUGGGUUUAAAGGGAGCGUAGGUGGAUUGUUAAGUGAGUUGUGAAAGUUUGCGGCGCAACCGUAAAAUGGCAGUUGAAACUGGCAGUCUUGAGUACAGUAGAGGUGGGCGGAAUUCGUGGUGUAGCGGUGAAAUGCUUAGAUAUCACGAAGAAAUCCGAUUGCGAAGGCAGCUCACUGGACUGCAACUGACACUGAGGCUCGAAAGUGUGGGUAUCAAACAGGAUUAGAUACCCCAGUAGUC